GUGCUCACUUCGGCAACACAUAUACUAAAAUUGGAAUGAUACAGCGAAGAUUAGCAUGGCCCCUGCACAAGAAAGAUAAAUACUACAUGAUUCUAUUUAUAU